CUUAGGGUUGUAAAACCAAAAUAAGAGCUAUAUUGUAUUUAAAUUAUAGCUCUAAGGUCAACUAAAGGUAAUAAAACACGCCCUUAGUUCUCUGACAGAAUGAAACCUUUGGUUUAUUCCUCUAGCGGAAAUAUUCCGACAGCAUCAAAAAAGGGCGCUUACGCAAAGUCCAUGACGUUUAGAAAAAAUAGCCGAUAGCCAAAUACACGGUGACGUCUCAAGGAUCGCUAAAAUAGCAAAUAUCGUGAACACAUCUUGAUAGGGCCAGUGACACCUAGGUUGCAACUGGCUAUAUUUUACUCGUGUUGCGAAAAUCGCGAACAUAGCGCUCUGUGUGGGCGCAAUGAAACGAAACUUUAAAAACUAGCAAAGAAUAUGGGAUGUAGAAGAUUUCACAAAGAGAAUACUUUUCAAAGGUACUCGAGAGCAUUGUGGCAAGAUGCAACUGCGUACAUCUCAUGGGAUUGUAUGCAAGAAUUAGGCAGUCAUUGGCAUUGAAUUAUGGCAUAGUAAACAAGUUCUUAUAUUCAUAUUAUUGUUGAAAGCAGAAUGUUGAAGAUGUGAGAUGAAAAUUACGCAAGUAAUUUGAAUUUUUGGCUCAUUGAAUCAAGGUGUAUAAUAGAUACAACAACAUGUAAAGUGUAUGAAAGUGGUUAAAACAUGGAUUCUGCAGUAGAUCAAGUUAAGAAAUGUAUCAGAUGUGGUAGGGAUAUGUUGGCAGGUGUGUGCUUGUGCAUUUAUAAAAUUCCUUUUUCUUGUAAAAAGUGUGAUUAUGUAGUUUCUGAUCUCACAUAUUUCAGAGAACAUUUGCAAAAUAUGCAUACAAAAAGUAAACAUGUAAGCAUUGUGCGUACAAGUGUGUCAUGCCAGAAACAAAUAAACAAAGCUGCAGUAGCCCAAUCGGUCGAUAUGAUAACGGAGGAUCGUAUUGAAACAUGUGCAGAGUUCAAAGACUCAUUUAAGUGUGAUAAAGGUCAGUAUGAGUGUAACACGUGUAAAGACAAAUUUGCUACAAAGUUGGGGUUCCUGGCUCAUAAUUUGACUCACAUUGAAAAAGAACAGACAAAUUCUUAUCAAUGUCACAUUUGUACCAGAGAAUUCUUGUCUGCUGCCAGUUUGCAAAUUCACAUCACACGUAUGCACACUCAAGUAAAGAAACACACAUGUGACAUUUGCAACAAGGGUUUCAGUAAUUUGAACACAUUAGAUGCCCACAAACGCCUUCAUUUGGGUAUCAAACCUUUUAAGUGUAACUUAUGCCAUAAGAGUUACUCUCAAAGCGGUAACUUGGCUUAUCAUAAAAAUACUCAUGUAGGUGUUAAAUCGCACGUUUGUCAUCUCUGCGGAAAAGCUUUUAUGACUAGUAGCAUCUUAGCAAAUCAUGAACGUCGUCACAGUGGCCUGAAACCGUUUGUUUGCGAUGCUUGUGGGCGUGCGUUUGCAGACAACUGUGCUCUGACACACCAUAAGGUGGUGCAUUCUGGGGUGCGCAGCUACAUGUGUGAUGUUUGUGGCAAGGCAUUCGCGCACAAACAUACGUUGGCGAGUCACAAACGCAUCCACAGUGGCGAGAAGCGCUACAAGUGUGCCAUCUGCGAGCGAGCGUUCACGCAAAUGUCGACUAUGCUCCAACACAAGAACACGCACACAGGCGAGAAGUCUUAUGGAUGCGUGUGUGGUAAGUCCUUCACACAGCAGUCGAGCUUAGCCAGGCACAAACGUUUACAUGAAAUAGGAGUGGCUUCCCACCCAUGUAAUUUGUGCGAAAAAAAAUUUUCUUACAAAAGUACAUUAUACAAGCAUAAAAGGAGAGCCCACAGAUUAGAAAACCAUGUUGCUUGUGAUGUCUCGUGACAAGAGGAAACAACAUAUCCAUCUUUUAAAAUCAGUAGUGACUUAAAUGAUUAAGUUCUUUGUCAACAGUGGUGUAUUUAAAGGUGUGAAGAUGUAUUCUAUAUGUCGUGCCAUAUUAUUAUUGAUUAAUUUUUUAUCUUAUAAAUAAUUGGAUUUUUUAUCUUUGGUUUACAUGAGUGUUUAGAGUGGUUUCUUAGUAAAAAUAAUGUAAUAAGAUACAUUAAACAAAUAGUAAUAUCAUUCAUACAUCCUUAUUCAAAUGCAAUUUACAGCUGAUUCCAUAGUAACACAAGCAGACUGCCACAGUUGUUUACAGUUUCACUAAACUGGCAACACUGGCUCUUAAGUAAACACAGAGAGGUAUCUACUACUGCCAUUUUGUAGUAGUUUAAAUUAUUUUAAAAACUAAUAGACUUAAGGAGGCACUAAAGCUUACAAAUUAUAACAGGGUUACUUCAACGUGUGUAGUUUUUGAGUUGAUAAUAGUGUUUGAGUUGAUAAUAGUGUUUGGGCUGUGUUUUUUAUGUACUAAGAAGGCAACUUUAGGCUGGGCACACACAGUAUCGGACAAGAUGCGAUGCUACACAGCGUGAAACCACACGAUGCUUCGCAACAGCGAAAUACCAUAUUUUCUUAACGUUAUUUAUUCCCACAUUAUUGAAAUCAAAUUGCUGUUAUGAUACUCCUUCAAAGAUGGAUUAUAUAAAAUAGGUUUUUCCUGUAGUAAACAUACCAAUUAAUCUGCAUACCGCUCCAUACCAAGGAAUAUUCAAUUAAAUUUCUUUACAAGUGAAUAUUUAUGAAAAUUAACGUUACAAUGAUAAACAGUUUUCAUAUAGUCAGCUUUCAGCUACAGCAUUCCUUUAACAAUUUUUUUAUACUUGCACAUGCACAGAACAGUGCAGCCAUCAGACAGACUGCUCACAACGAAGUGGGAGCAAUCAUUUGAUGUUGUUGCCUCGUGUCUGACAGUUUUGUGGCAUUGUGCCACAUCUCAUUCUGUGUACAUUGCUUUAAUAUAAAUACAUGGAAGUCAACUAUUAUACAAAAUGUUGUAUUUUGUCGUGCCUCAUUCUGUGUGUACCCGGCCUUAGGUUGUCUUUUAUGAGACUAUCUUUGAAGCUAUUUUUGUGAUGUAUUAUCAGUUUUGAGUGUCAUUUAUUAUUUAUGGGUGAAGAAGGAAAUAAAACAAAAUUUAUACCGAGCAUAACUUUAUGUACAAGCAUUUUUAGUAAAGGCCUUAAUUUAAUUUAUUGAUGAACACUUUUGGGAAAUUUACCUGAUAUUUAAGCAAAUUCUAAAACUUUUAUCAAACAAGAUACAAAUUUUUAUAAAGAUAAGUAUACCUCAUUAAUACAAACUUUGUAAUAAGAAGGUUUGUAUUAACCAAUAUAUAUGGUUUCUCGGGGAAGUGUGCAUAUAGUUUUCACCCAUGGUUUUGAACUUUUUGUACUGAACUGCUUUUAACAGGCACUGAUGGCAGCAUAAUGCAUCAAAGUUCUUAGAAAUAUUCAACGGGAUGGUGGUGGUAUUAUUUUAGUUACAACUGUUCAUUAUUUAUUUUCAAAGCCCUAUAACAUUUUUGUAUUAACCAUUCUUUGAUGCAUGUAAAUGUUUAACUAUGGAACAAAAAUAACUUUGUAAUAAAUAAGACUUAUUUUGUUCUAAAAUUGCUUAUUAUUGUAAUUCUUGUUGUGUUGGUAUAAUAUCACUGUUUAUACUUUACUAUACAUUUUUGUUUUGCUCAUGUUGAUGCUAAUCAGCCUUACUUAAUGAGUAAACUGAACUUACCUACACUAAAUAGAUUGUUCUAACACUAUCUACACUUUUGUUGUAUAACUUUGGAGGUACUGAAGCUACUGUAUGCAUGUUUCAGUCACUUUACCUAAAACAAUAGAAUUGUUACAGAAUACAGUGGGAAACAUUAGAAAACAAGAGAAAUCAACAGAAUAAAAUGGAAGACCCUAGAAUACCAACAAAAUGCCCAACAACAAAACCCAUCGAAAACUACUAAAAAACAACAGAAACCAACAAAUCAUGUUCAUUAUAAACCAUUCAAUACCACUGAUAUCCACUGAGAGAUGCAACAGAAACUAACAGAAAGUGGCCAUUUCUCAUUUUAAUAUUCAAUAGUCUUCUUGUUUCUUAUUGUACAUCUGUUGGUUUCUAUUGUAAAUUUUUGAUAGGGCCAGUGUACCUAGAUCUGCAGAAUACCAAAACAUGUUGUAUCAGGUAUUUUCCUCUAGCACUAUUACAUGACCAAACAUUUUUUUUUUUGGGUGCUUUAAGUGCUGUUUGUUAUAGAGGUAAUGAAGAUUCAUACAUAACGUUAGCAUAGAAUUGGAAAUUAAUUCAGUAGUUUUUCCAUAGUAAAACUAUAUUUUAAGUACACAUUUUGAGUUAAUUAAAGUAAAAAUAGAUUAUGAAUUUCUCAAAUAAGUUUACUUUUAAAUAUCUCUGUUGGGUUUUAUUAUGUUUGAUGACUAUGUUACUAAUCAAUAAAUUUUCACUCUGCAUUGGAAGGUAUGUUGCAGCUUUACAUAUUUCACAUUACGUAUUACCCAGAAUUUUGCUGCCCCAUCACUGAAAUAUUUAGGCUCUGAAAAUAGUUUUACAAAAUCAUACAACGCAUUC